UGACCAAAAAAUCUUUUAAGAAAAUAUAAAUUUAUUAUUAUAAUUUUAAGUUUACCACGUAAAAAAUUAAAAAAAUAACCAUUUCUAAUUAAGCAAUUACAAAUUGAUUAAAUUUAGAGAAAAAUAAUCAUAAAAUCUAAUUUUUUUUAAAAAAAGAUAUGCUACUAGGAAUUAAUGGUAUUCAUGUUAUCUUUCUAUGAUUUUCAGCUCUAUUCAUAAACCAAUUUAAGAAAAAAAAUCAAGUACAUAGUGAGAAAGUAUAAAAAAGAAACAAAAAUGUAUUUGUCAUUUGUCACAAUCCUAUCUAAUUAGGAGAUUUUUCUCAUUUACUUUCAAGUCUUAUUUUAAUUAUUGUUUUCUUUAAUUUGUUUGAAUUUUUAGAGACUCUUCCCAAAACAAUUUCAAGACUUCCUCUCUUAUAAACAACCCAACAAACUUAGUUGUUUUGGCAUAUUUAUAUACAAAGCUUUAAGUCGUGUCUAUAACAACAUGGACUUAACAAAACUUUGAAUAUCCUACACAAAAAAAUUCAAAUCCGCCAGAAACCAUCAAAUCGAUAAACGGUGUUACUUUCCGUUAGUAGAUGUUGACUAGGAUGCCACAUUUUCAGUCUAAAAUGCCACGUGGAGUCAUGAUGCGAUGUGGUUUCAUAAGAAAACGGUCUAUUUCCCCAUAAACUUAGUUGUUCUAGCAUAUUUAUACACACAAGUUAGAAUCAUGCCUAAAACUACAUGAACUUAGCUAUAUUUUGAAAUUAUUACAAGAACAAUUUAAAUCCGGCGAAAACCAUCAAAUCGGCAACCAAUGUUAUUGUUCCGGUAACAAAUGUUGAUUAAGAUUAUGUGUUUGCACGUGGAGCCACAAAACAACAUUGUUUCAUUUACUUAUUUAUUUCUAAAAAUAAAUAAUUUCUUAUUACGAGUAAAAUUUAUAGUAAAACUUUUAUCCAUCAUAUAAACCACAAGUGCACAUGCAAGCACAAUAGUAUUUAGGAAUCGAAUCCACAUAGACCAAAUAACCACACAAUUGACUAUAUAGUUUCAUAUUUAGCUAGAACAUAAUAGGAGUUAUAAGAGACAAAGCCUUAAAGGUUCAAAAGCUUUCUCUUUAAGAGACAUAAGAAUCAUUCAUCAAAUUAAAAACAAACUCAAGAGAUAAACAAGACUUACACGAUCUACAACAUCUUCUCCACUUCCCAUUUUUCAAGGUUCAAUUUUGAUUUUCUUUUCUUCUCGAAUUUUGAUAGGUGUUUAGGUUGUUUAUAAAGUGGAGGAGGAUAAUGGAGCUUAUCUCUAUAUGGAUAUAUUUGCUUCACUAAACUAAUCAUCUAUUGGUUUCUACUGAAACAAUGAUAUUUAAGUGGUAAAAAAACAUGCUUAAAUAUCAUUUUCAUUUUCAAAGUAGAAAUGAAUAUACAUCAUUUUCAUUGUUACUACUAGAAAAAUGAUAUUUAAAUAGUAAAAAAACUUGCUUAAAUAUCAUUGUUCCAGUAGUAACCAAUAGCUGAUUAGUUUAGUGAAAAAAAACUUAUCUAUUUAGAGAUAAGCUCCAUUAUCCUCUUCCACCUUAUAAACAACUUAAAGACCUAUCAAGAUUCCAGAAGAAAAUAAACUCAAAAUUGAACCUUGAGGAAUGGGAAGUGGAGAAGAUGUUGAUCGUGUAAGUCUUGUUUAUCCCUUGAGUUUGUUUUCAGUGAAUGAUUCUUUUGUCUUUUUGAUAGAAAGAUUUUCAACCUUUAAGGUUUUGUCUCUUGUACCUCUUUUUAUGUUCUAGCUAAUCUCUAAAUGGAGGAUUAAACCUUAAAGAUUAAACAACCUUUAAGGUUGUUUAUAAAGUGGAGGAGGAUAAUGGAGCUUAUCUCUAAAUGGAUAUAUUUGUUUCACUAAACUAAUCAUCUAUUGGUUUCUACUGAAACAAUGAUAUUUAAGCAAGUUUUUUUACUAUUUAAAUAUCAUUUUUCUAGUAGUAAGAAUGAAAAUGAUUUAUAUUCAUUUCUACUUUGAAAAUGAAAAUGAUAUUUAAGCAUGUUUAGGAUGAUCUUGAAGCCUAAAUACAUGAUCUUGAAGCCUUCAUCUGGUUCUUCAGGAUUGUCAUCGGAGUUGUCAAGAUGGCAAACUCAAGAUCGGCGAUGAGCAACUGACGGUGUUCCGGUGGUUUUCGCAUCUGCAACAUGAACCUAGGUCUAGAAUCAAACACGUGUAUGUCUUACGUGUCAUUUCCUUAUGUUUUUGGGUUCAUUUAAUAUUUGGGCUUCAAAGGCUUUUGUAUCACUCGUCUUCUUGUAAGUUGUCCUUUGGGCUUUCUAGUAAAAGCUUUGGUCAACAAAAAAAAAAAAUCUACUGAUUGCACAAAUCUAUAAAAGCUAAAUGCAAAGUGUGUGUGAGAGAGAACGAACUCUGACUACUUUUUCAGAUAACCAAAAGCAAAAAUUAUAUCAAAAUUUUCUCGAACUGCAACUGAAACAUCAUCAUCGAUGAUGCCCUUUUCUCUUGGAAUCAUCAUCAUCGCCACCACCAUCAUCGGCUUAACCGCUUAUCAAAUUCUGCUUCUUCUUAACUUUCUGAGCUUUAGCCAAAGACUCAUCAUCCUCAAUCGCAAAUGAAAUCUUUAUAACUAAAUAAGGUAGUGACUCAUAUGACAAAUACAUUUUUGUUUCCUUUUAUAUUUUCUUCUGCUUGUAUUGAUUUUUUUUUUUCUUUUGGGUUUUGAAUAUAGCUGAAAAUCUUAAAAUGAUAAAAUGAAUACAAUCAAUGUCCAAUAACAUAAUUAAAAACCAAUAGCUACUGGGAUCAAUGAUAUUCAUGUUAUAUUUCUAAUAUUUCCAGCUCUAUUUAAAAACCAAUUUAAGAAGAAAAAAGAUAAAGUACAAAGACAAGAAGAAAAAAAAGAAACAAAAACAUUUGCCAUUUGUCACAAUCCUACUAAAGACUGUGACAAAUGGCAAAUGUUUUUGAGUUUUGUUCAAGCCUUAUAGCAGCGAGCCGUGUAACUGAGGCUGAUGAAAGUCUAUCUGAAGCGAAGAAUGCUAAAAAGAAGCAAAAUCUGAUGAGCGGCAAAGCUGAUAAUGAUACGGGAGAUGAAGACGAUUGCUUAAAGAAAAAUAAGGGAGUCGAGGAUGAUGUUGUAGCUUCAGUUCGAGAAACCCUUGUUUGUAACAUCUGCUUCUGUAUGUCUGAGAAACCAGUCACGGUAGUUCAUUCACUCUCCGGGUCCGGCUUUUAUAGAUUUGUGCAAUCAAUAGAUUAUAUAAGUGUUUCUUAUGCUUUUUGAUUUUGUUAAUGCUUGUUGAAUCUUGUUAUUGGUUUUGGUUGGUUACUAUAUUGUUCACUUUAUUUAAUUAAGCUGCCUAAUAACUACACAUACGUGUUAGUGGCAUUAUAUUACUUGGAAGUCAAGGUAUGGAGCUCAGUCAAUAGCACUCUCUAGAAGGUUGGAUUUGCAUUCCUCAUAGCCUUUGGUGCAAUUGAUUACUCUUUUUUUUUUUUUUUUUUUUUCUUAAUCAAUAACUCCUUGGAAAUGUUUCGUUAUGAAUCGUGAAAUAUUUAUUACUAUUGAGUUUUGCCAUUGCUUAUAGAAUUAGCCUUGCUCUAGUUUCUUGGUAGACUUCCUCUCUUUUUGCCUUCAAUAUGUGUUAACGUAUCUUGCAGUGGGGGAAGAGAUCUCAGUGGCAACAAAAGAACUUUUCGCCAGCCGAUCUCAAUCCUGAAAACCCCAUCCUAUCUCACUAGUUCUUUUCUAGUUUUAUCUUUAUUCAUUCAUAUAUUCUGCAUAUGCUCCUGACUCCUCCGAAGAAGCUAGUGAGAGAUACGAUGGGGUUUACAGAAUUGAGAAGUGCUGGCGGAAAGUUCAGAUGUAGCUAAUGUUCUAAAUUGUUCACCUAAUAUCCUAGUGCUUGAGAAGGCCACUGACCUGUUUGUGAAAACAGAAAGUCCAUCAUGGGAUUUUGAUAUGUUAGUACAUGCUCUCUUUCUUCUCCUUCAUGGCAUGAUAUAUCACUUGGUUCCUGCUGAGGGUCGUUGGAAGUGGAUCAAGUCUCAGCCUGCUAGCAGAAAGUCUGUUGAAGCUUUGUGUCCUUUGGAAAGGAAGAGGAUAAGGAAAGCCACAAAGGCGACUCGAAAUAGUAUCGGAAGCUGAAGAAGCACCAAGCAAAAGGAUGAAAGUGAACAUAUUGACAGUAGCAGCAGCCACUGCAACUGUGUUUUUAGACCCAGACCGGACCGGGUGGUUUGACCAUUGAACCGUGACCUGGUAGUAUCUCCGGUUCGGGUUUCAUGCAAAACUCGACAUAUAAUUGAACUGUAAUCUACUAUACAUUUUUGCAGCAGUUUUUGGGUACCCAAAUCGGGUCAAAAUUUUGACCCGGAAUUAAUUGUUUUUAGACCCGAUUAGGAGAAUCUCGGAUCUUGCCUAAUUUAAUUGUUUGCUCCGAUUUUGAGUCACCAAAUCUUUCCUUAGUUGCUGCGACCUACAUUCAUGGCAAAAAUGAUUAAGUUUCUCAAUUCAAUCUCAGUUAAAGAUACACAAAAUAUUUGCAGUUACACCAAUAAAGAAGCAAACAUUCAUAGCAUAUCUAAUCUUCCCUAUUAAAACGCAAUAGUAACUACUCCAUUUAUCAUUUCUUUCUAUCAACUAAAGCAAUCAUCGAAUGAUCUUAUUGAGAUGGAAAAUAGUUAAUAGAGAAGAGAUUUCAUCUAUAUUCUCGCUUCAAUAAACCUAGCAUAUUCUCUUUUAUUCCAAUAAUUAAGAUCACGCAAUAUAUUUAAUCCUUGAUCAUCAAGGAUUUUAUAAUAUUCGCCUAAACCUAAUGGAACCUACUAAUUCAAACUAUAUAAAUAGCCGCUCAUUUCCAUCGUCUCUAUUCACACACUCUCUCAUUUCCCAAUAGCAAUAUAUCAGAUAAUAAAAUUUUCUUUAUUUACCUUCACCAAUGGCUUCCCAAUUUGCAAUGUUAAGAGAUGUCAGACCAUACAAGACAUCUUGGCGUGUCCAGGUUAAGGUGCUCCAUUCUUGGCGCCAGUAUACCAACAACACAGGUGAAACCCUUGAGUUGGUCCUCGCUGAUUCACAGGUAAAACAACAAUAUAUCAGAGAGUAGCAUUUUAUAUUUCUAUACAUGAGCAACAUCUAAAAACCUAACUCUAAUUCUACUUCAUUAUUAAAACAGGGUGUCAAGAUUCAUGCUUCUGUGAAGAAGGAUUUGGUUGCUAAAUAUGUUAACAGCCUACAAGUGAAUGAGUGGAAGUUCAUUGAACAUUUUACACUUACUCAUGCAGCAGGGCAAUUCAGACCAACCGGUCAUCUAUACAAGAUGUCCUUUGUGAAUGGCACUACUGUGACACGGUCUGACAUUGUCUCUGAUUCAAGCUACUUAACUCUGGCAAGGUUUAGCAGAAUACAGAAUGGCGAUUUAAAUCCUUACAUGUUGAUUGGUAUGUAAUGCUCUAAAAUAUACAUUCUCAUGUCUUAAAUCAAUUCUGUUAAUUUAUGUAUAUACUAAAUGUACUGUUGUGAACCAAAUAUAGAUGUCAUGGGUCAAGUGGUGAAUAUUGGUGAGCUAGAGGUCCUUGAAGCUAAUAACAAGCCAACCACUAAGCUUGACUUUGAGUUGCGUGAUGAACAGUGAGUGAUCUGAUAUGGUUGUUUUAUUAUUAAGUAACCUGAGAACUUAUAGAAUGAGAUUUGAUAUGAUCUAAUAUUUGAUUACAUGUUUUCUACUGCAGUGAUGAUAGGAUGUCAUGCACACUCUGGGGGGCAUUUGCUGAAAAAAUGUUUCAAGCAUGCCAAGCAGCUGAUGGAAUCAUGGUGAUCUGUGUUAUCAGAUUUGCAAAGAUUAAGGCAUACAAAGGUAAAUUACUAUUUCUACCUAAGAUUUUGUAAUGAAUAAAGUUUUAUUUGACAAUUGUUCCUGUUUUCUUUCUAGGUGUUAGGAGUCUCUCUAAUUCCUUUGAUGCCUCACAAGUUCACAUCAAUCCACCUUUCCCUGAGAUUGAAGCUUUCACCAGAGCGUAUAAGUUUAUUUUUCAAACUACUCUAAACUUAUAGUUUUAUUAUAACUGACUGAAAAUUACAUUCUUUGUUUUUUCUAUUAACAGUCUCCCCUCUGAUGGUCUAGCCUUAACUUUCCGUGAAAGUGUUCCUAAGUUCCAGAUGGUUACAGUGAAUAAGGAUGAUGAUUGUCUUCAGUUUGAAAGGAAUACAAUAUCAGAUCUUUUUAACUCAACAGAGGUUUGUAUUUGUUUGAGUUAUUCAUAUAGCAUUGUUAUCUACUUUAGUGUGUGAAAUCUCAUUAAUUACCUAUACCCUGUAGAUUGGAAAGGCUAGAGUUAUCUGCACAAUCUAUGGAAUUGAUACAGAUUGGGCUUGGUAUUACUUUAGUUGCCGUAACUGUAAUAAAAAGGUCACUCACAUUCAUUCUGGAGUGAAUACUGCUUCCAUGAAGAAACAAAAGCCAAAGUUUUGGUGUGACGUCUGCAGGAAUGAUGUCACUAAUGUUGUAGCAAAGUGAGACUUCUUUUCUUAAUCUGAUAAUAAUGCAUAUUUAUAAGUUUGUGUUUUUUCUUUGAAAUAAUUACUAAUAUGACUUCUCUUAUUGAAGGUACAUGCUAUAUGUUAAGGUGAUGGAUAACACUGGUGAAACAAAAUGUCUUUUGUUUGACAGUAUAUGCUCAAAAAUUGUUGGUGAAACUGCUGCAUCAUUGCUAGGUGGAUCAUUCAAUGAGGUAACAUUCUAUUAUGUGAAUUAUAUAUGUAAUUGAUAUAUAUGAAACAUUCAACUGAUAAGUACUAAUUUCCUUAUGUAGAUUGAGGACCCUAAUGAUUUGCCUGACGUAAUAAGGAAUUUGGUUGGCAAGACCUUUCUCUUUCUGCUAUGUGUUGAGAAAGAAAACAUUUGGGAUGGUAAGGAUUCUUUCAAGGUUUCAAGAAUCCUAAACAAAGAUGGACUCUUGCAAGAAGAUGUCCUUGAGGAAUCUGAACAAUUGGUUAAUCCUGCCUCAAUUGUUUCUGGAGAUCAGGUAACAUUUUUUAACUAUCUAAUCUCCUUAAAAUUAUAUCAACUAUCUCUCCUACUGAUAAUCUCUAUAUUCAGUGUCUCAUGUUAACAAUGAGUCAAGACACGUCUGACUCAUCUACUCCAUCUUCCAAGCGUGUUUAUGCUCCUAAUCUGUCUGAGUCAGAGCAAUCCUCCAGUUCUAAGAAGGUGUGCAUCGAGCCUAAAGACUUACAGAAGUCAGAACUAGAAUUUGAGGAGAAUGGUCUGUCUCUAAAUGGAGUUCCUAACAAGAUCUCUGAAGUUGUGAAGGUAGAGAAUGUCAAGAUUGAAAGCAACAAAGGAAAGGGUGUUCAAGACAGUGGUGAUCUUCCUGUGAAUGAGAAAAAGGAGACUAGGCAUGUGGCUAAAGCAGUUGGAAUGAAGAUCAAAAAAGAGAAAUAGUGAUCUAGCACCUGUUUGCUAAGCAAUAAGGAGUUAUCAUAAUUCCAAGUUUUUUAAAAUUUCAUUGUUAGACAUUUGUUGGUUUUUUACUUUGGUUUUUAAUUGAUGUUUCAGUUUGGUUUUUUGGUUAAUCUCCUCUAAUAAACCUGUUUCAAUUUCUGUCUACUGUACCGUUGUCUUACUCAGUUAUUGAAAUAGCAUAUUUAUUUAGUUUAAUCUAAUCAUUAGACCUCAAAACCUAAAGCAGAACCGCUAUAACAUCCUUAUGUUUGCUACACGAAAUCUCUAUUAUAAACAAUGAUGGAAAUUCUUGGAAAUCGUAAUAUGGAAAGCACAGUUUUAUAUAAUCAUUACUAUAAUAUUGAAUAAAGAUCUUUUACAGGCUAACGAUUCAGUUUCCUUGAUAUAUUAUAUCUAACUUUACUUAUCUCAAACGGUUUCAAUGAUUUACAAUAUAUAAUAUCUAUUUUAUAUAGGAAAUUAAAUCUAUUCAUUCACAUCUCUACACGAUUCUAUAAAUACUCAGACUUAACCUUUAGAUUUUUUCAGAAACCUAACCUUCUCUAUAAAAAAAAAACUGAGAAAAACUUACACUUUCUGUGAUUCUAAUGGGUACUAUUGACUACAUUUCCGAUCUCAACCUGCAAAGACCUAGAUGGACUUUGUACGUGAAGAUUUUAUCUAUCUGGAAUCAAGGUAUAGACGCUAUUGAUGAACCUACGAUUAUGAUUCUGACUGAUGAAAAGGUUAGCAAAUUUCUUCUAUUGAACCUCUGUUUCUUAAGUCACAGAUUUACUAAUUUGUUUGAAUCUUCACAGAGAAAACUUACUAUUUAGUUCUUCUUAUAUGCCUAGGCCAAUCAGAUUGAUGCAUUUAUCCCUCCUGGAAACUACUUAUACAAUUUCCGGCCAGGUCUCAAGGAGGGUCACUGGUACUACAUGGCUGACUUCCAUGUGGUACCAUCUACUCAACCUGUUAAGUACUCCUGGAAUCGUUUUGCACUAGAGUGUAUAUGGCCUACCACUAUGUGGCCUGUGUCUCCUAGAUGUAAUGGAAAUUUCUGCAACUUCAUUCAUUCUGAUGAAGUUGAGUAUGCUGGAUUAGAGGAUAAGCAACAUGUGUCAGGUUCAAGUAUAUUUAUUUAUUGAUUGAAAUUAGUAAAACUUUGCUUUAUUCUGACUUUAAUUAAGUAUAUUUGAAAUUUGUUUUCAGAUGCUAUUGGUGUGGUCUCGAGUGUCUCUGCUAUUCAAAGAUUUCCAUUUGUUUGUCGUCAAGGAGAGACAGACUAUGAAACCAGAUUUGUUGUUGUCGAAAUCAAGGAUGACAUGUAAGUUUUAUUUUAAUAGAUAUCUCAAAUUAGUAUCUAUAUUGGCGAUGUGGUAUUGAAUGCAUUGAAUCUGUGAUCAUGUAGGGGUAGGAAAACAAUCUGUGUUGCAAAGGGUAGGUCCUGUCAGGCGUUUGUGACUAAAUGGUUUAGGAAAAUAACUUCUGUGACAUACAAUUAUGACCCAGUUGUCAUUGUCCUGCGUUUUUGGAGGGUUGCUGAGUUUGAAGGUUAGUUAUUUUCCUAUAAACUAUAUAUAACUGUCAAAUACAUUAGACAAUAACUUUAACUGGUAACUAUCAACAUGUUUUAAUAGGUCAAAACUGUUUGAUGAGUGAGUAUGGUUGUUCAAGGCUUUUCCUUGAUCCAACCUUUCCUGAUUUGGACAUUCCGAGAUACAUGUAAGUAGAUACCUAUCAGAAGUUAAAUAAGUAAUCAAAUGCUAUGAUUACUGAUUGGAUUAAGUAAUGUUUCUCUUUUUUGAAACAGCCGUGGCUUUGCAGAACAACAAGAUGAUGUUCAGGAUGUUGGAAUGAAGUUGGAAGUGUGAUGAUGGGAAGCUAAGUUUGGUUCUACCAGUGGCUGCAGUUGUUUUAUUAUUACAAAAAUACUUUCUCGGUUCUCUAUUGUUUUAUGUUUAUGAAGACAAGUUUGUUUUAAGUUUCUUUUGACUAUCAACUGCUUUAUCCUUUAUUUGAAUUUAAUGUUUAUCUAAUUAAUCUACUCUAAUGGUUAUUUGUUUUAUAGUAAGUUUUAGUAUAUGAUCAAUAAAAUAUAUAAUUACUGUAUCAAAGUAAUAAUUUCAUUAGAUAAAUUAACAAGUUUUGAGAUAUUUGCUAAACUAUCAGUUUUGUUCAAUUUACCUUAUUUGAAUAGUCCAUCUUCCUUAUGUGCUAUUGAUUGUGUAUAUCAAGAAUAUUUCAUUGCUCUCUUUCCUGAUACAAAAAAUAUAGUUAGUAAUCUUAUAAUUACAACAAUAAUCACUAUAAUCACCGAAUCAAUCUUAUAGUUUGGUAUAUUCCGCAUAUUAUCUAAAGGUUCUCAUUCAUUACUUAUAGAAAAUAACAUAUCUUAGUUCCUAUAUCUUUGGCAACAGACAAUCAUUUAACAAUAAUAGUCAAUCUACAGAUAUCAAAAUGCUUUCUAUUUAGACCUUAAUCUCCUUUAUAUAGUUACCAUGUAGUCUAAUCAUCUAUAGACAUUCUUAGACUACAAUAUGAAAAAAAAACCUCUAUCUCCAACAGAAAAUAAUGUUCCUGAGUCUAAUCCACCCAAACGUAAUCGAGGAAAUGAGCCUUACACUAGACUAAGGAACAUUUCUCAGUUUAAUCUACCUAUAAUCAGGAAUGGUUCUGUCCCUCUUAGUACAGCGUUUGGUAGUGCUUUUAGAGAUAUUACUAACCUUCCAGACCCACAAGUUAGCCCCAUUGAGAACUCUGCAGAUGCUAAUACAUCUUCAUCUGCAAAACAGAACAGUAAGAAUCAAGGUUAAUUUCUAUAGACAAGUUUUCAUUUACAAUUAUUUUGUUUUCAUUCUCAUCAAAGAUAAAUAGAAAAUACCUUUAUCUCUAAAUCUUGAUGAGUUUUAAAACAGGUUCACUUCGUGGAAAAAUGUCCAAGCCUUGCUCUCCUUACACCAGACCUAACCCAUUGUUAACUCCAUCUGGAUUAAGCGCCAUGACUAAUACAAGCCAGAGUCUUUUUAGCAGAACACCUACAACUCCAAUAAUGCCUCCACCUUCUGUAACACCAAAGAGAAUAGGUGGUUAGAUUAAUUAAGUUCCACAUAUGAAUAAUUUUUGCAACAAUUAUGGUAUGAUAAUGUUUUAAAUAGAGAAGUAUAUUGUAUAAGUAAUAAGUUUAAUAUCUGUUGUAGGUGUUCAAUACACUGGAAAUCCAUCAUGUAUAACCAACCUCCAGACAUCAAGCUUUGUUUCUCAUAGAAUAAAUUUGCCAAGGAAAAACUUAGAUAUUGAUUUUACAAAUGCAGAAACCUCUUCUUCAUCUAAAGGUAACAGUCUUUACUGUAUUGUUUUUCGCUUGGAAGCAAAAUGUAAUUAAGAGGCAUGUCUUAACCUAUUUUCCUGUUUUGUAUUCUCAAGGUCAGAAUACAACUCAAGUAAUAGAUAAUGAAGAUAGUGAUUAUAGCCAAGAUGAUGAAAUGUAUGAUGAUCCUGAGUUUGGUAAUGUCAAUGAAGAUGAGACACUAGCUCAAAGCUAUGAUCUUAGUUGCAGUGAAGGUGAAGAUGAAGUAGUAGAUAACAAUGAAAUGUCAGUUUCUGACGAGGAACAGAUUGAAAUGAUGUCACACAUAACUGAAGUCUCAUCUCAUACCAAUGAUUUGGCAAGAUCAUCUAUUGAGUCUGUUCAGCAAGAAACACAUGAAGGAAAUGUGCCUCCGAAAAGAAAAAAGAAAAGAAAAUCAAAAAAGAAAAACAAACCAAUAAGUAAAUUUUCUUGCCCUUCCCAGUACUUUUUUUAUUUUUGGUAAUUCUGAAUAUGAAACUUAUGAGAAACAUAUUUAUGUUUUUCAGCUUAUCUUGAUCAUGGUGACCCUACUUACUCGUGUAAGUAUUGUGGUGCAUUGAUAUGGCAUGCUGAAAGAAUAAACAAAAAAGUUAAAACGACAGAUCCUACAUUUACACUAUGUUGUGGUCAAGGUUCUGUUAAGCUGCAUUUUCUUAAAGAGUCACCAGAAUUGAUCAAGAAAUUUAUGACUGGGAAAGAUCCUCAAAGUAGGAAUUACAUAAAGCACUUGAGAAUAUGGAAUAUGGUUUUCGCAAUGACCUCACUAGGUGGGAAAGUAGAUAAGUCUAUACCUAAGGGUAAAGGUCCAAGCAUGUUUCGUUUACAAGGAGGUAACUAUCAUUUGAUAGGCAGUUUGAAACCUGCAGAAGGUGAUUAUGCGAAGUAUUCACAACUCUAUAUAGUAGAUACUGAGAAUGAAGUAGAUAACAGAGCAACUGUUAUUGGGUUAGUAUUAUUUCUACUUAACAGGCUUAUUAAAUUCUUUUGUAUUUCUAUGUUGUGGUAUUACUCAAUCAUGGGCAUCUUUUUUUUUUUUAAUGUAGCAAGGGGAAAGAAUCAUCUAGAAGAGGAAGCAAGGAUAUACUGAACAAAGAGACAAUUGAAGCCAUUAUGAAAAUGCUCAAUGAAGUUAAUCCUUAUGUCAAGAAUUUUAGAAUUGCCAAGGAAAGAUUUGAGGUAGUUAAUCCCCAACCAUUUCAUAUGAGGAUAUGCUCUGGUCGUAAAGGUGCUGAUGGAAGGACUUACAGCAUGCCUACGACUUCGGAGGUUGCAGCGUUAAUCCCAGGAGACUUUACAGAAGGUAUGCCAAACCGUGAUAUAGUUCUUCAAGAAAGGACUACAGGCCACCUAACCAGGAUUAGCCAGAUUCAUAUUUCUUAUCUGGCUCUUCAGUAUCCUCUGAUUUUCUGCUAUGGUGAAGAUGGUUACACCCCAGGUAUAGAGAAAUGUUAUAAGGGUAAUAACCAGAAGAAGAAGAAGUGUAUUAGUAUGCGUCAGUGGUUUGCAUUUCGUAUUCAGGAGAGGCCAGGUGAGUGCCAUACUCUUCUACUGUCGAAGAGGUUGUUUCAGCAGUUUCUUUGUGACGCUUACACCACUAUUGAAUCAAAUCGUCUAUCCUACAUAAGGUUCAAUCAGUCUAAGCUUAGAUGUGAGAAUGCAAACUCACUAAAAGAAGCUGCUGACUCUGGUGUAACAAAUAUGGAAGAAGAAGGAAAUCAGAUUUUGAUUCUAGCAUCUUUUACGGGUGGUCCAAGGUAUAUGGUUCAGAGUUAUUAUGAUGCUAUGGCCAUAUGUAAACAUUAUGGUUUCCCGGAUUUAUUCAUCACGUUUACAUGUAACCCUAAGUGGCCUGAGAUAACAAGAUAUGUCACAGCAAGAGGGUUAACUGCUGAGGAUAGGCCAGACAUUGUUGCUAGGAUAUUCAAAAUCAAGUUGGAUUCUCUGAUGAACGAUCUAACAGAAAAGAAGAUGCUUGGAAAGACUGUCGCAUGUAAGUUGUCUGACUACUUCCAAUAGAAUAACAAUAAACUGAGACUAUUUCAAUAUUUUCACACUAUAUUCUAUGUUAUGCAGCUAUGUAUACUGUAGAAUUCCAGAAAAGAGGCCUUCCACAUGCUCACAUUCUUUUAUUCAUGGAUGCUAAAAGCAAACUUCCAACAGCAAGCGAUAUUGACAGGAUGAUAUCUGCUGAGAUUCCAGAUAAAGAAACAGAACCAGAGCUUUAUGAGGUUGUUAGUAAUUCAAUGAUUCAUGGCCCAUGUGGUGCAGCAAAUAUGAGUUCUCCAUGUAUGGUGGAUGGCCAGUGUUCUAAAUCGUAUCCUAAAAAAUUUGAGGAUAUCACCAAGGUAGGCGCUGAUGGUUUUCCUAUCUAUAGAAGAAGGCGCUCUGACCACUAUGUUGAGAAAUGUGGAAUUAAAUGUGAUAAUAGGUAUGUCGUUCCAUACAAUAAAAAACUAUCAGUUAGGUAUGGUGCUCACAUUAACGUUGAAUGGUGUAAUCAAACUGGGUCUAUUAAAUACUUAUUCAAGUAUAUAAAUAAAGGCCCAGAUAAGUUAGCAUUUGUUGUGGAGCCUGUCAAGCCACCACCAACAGAUAAUGGCUCACACGUAGAUCAAACAGCUAAUGGAUCAGAACCAUUACCAGAGGAGAAAAAGAAGAAUGAAAUAAAAGAUUAUUUUGAUUGCAGGUAUUGUAUCCUAAUUUUGCUCUUUCUCAGUUUAUUUCUGUGAUUGGUCAGUCUGGAUCCUGAAAUGGCUUUGUUUAUUAUUCAAAAUUGUAGAUAUGUGUCAGCAUCUGAAGCAAUUUGGAGAAUUUUUAAGUUUCCGAUACAGCAUAAAUCAACACCUGUUUUGAAGCUAUCUUUUCAUGUAAAAGGAAAGCAACCAGCUUAUUUUAAAGGAAAAGAGGUGAUAUCAGAUGUUUUGGACAGAAUUCUCAAUCGAGAUUCUCAAUUCAUGGCAUGGCUAACAUUGAAUAGGAAUGAUGGAAUUGGAAAAAAUGGAAAGCGUGCUCGAGAACUCCUAUAUGCAGAGAUACCUGCAUAUUUUACAUGGGAUGGAACUAAUAAGCUGUGGAAUAAGAGGUCUAGAGGAUGGUCCUUAGGUCGGAUUAAUUAUGUUCCCAGGAAGCUAGAAGAUGAAUAUUUUCUACGAGUCCUACUUAACAUCGUCAGAGGUCCUACAUGUUUUGAUGACAUUAAAACAUAUAAUGGUGUUGUCUAUCCAACUUACAAAGAAGCAUGUUUUGCACGAGGAAUUCUAGAUGAUGACCAGGUGUUCAUUGACAGUCUGGUUGAUGCGAGUCAAUUCUGUUUUGGUGAUUUUUUGAGGAAUUUCUUCGCUAUGUUGCUACUAUCUGAUUCACUAUCUAGGCCAAAAUAUGUUUGGGAACAGACGUGGCAUUUGUUAGCAGAAGAUAUUCAACAGAAGAAGAGAAAUGAGUUUGACAAUCAAGGUGUGAUAAAUAAUGAAAUUGCUAAAGUUAUAUCAUAUCCAUUUUCUCAGUUAAAUAAGCAAUGAUUCUAUUUUUUUCUUGACAUUGCCAUUUAUUUUAUAUGCAGAUUUGAAUCUGACAGAGGCAGAAUUUAGGAACUACACUCUUCAAGAACUAGAAAAAAUGAUGUUGUCUAAUGGAGGUACUCUUGAAGAUAUACAAAACUUUCCUAAGCCAACUAGAGAAGGUAUAGAUAAUUCUAACCGUUUGAUUGUUGAUGAAAUGAGGUAUGACCGUACAUCAUUGGCUGAAAAGCAUGCUGAGUGGAUAGAUAUUAUGACACCGGAGCAGAGAGGUGUUUAUGAUGAGAUUACCACUGCAGUAUUCAAUGAUCUAGGUGGAGUGUUUUUUUGUGUAUGGAUUUGGAGGUACAGGAAAAACUUUUAUUUGGAAAACACUUUCAGCUGCUAUUAGAUCUAAAGGAGAUAUAGUUCUAAACGUGGCUUCAAGUGGUAUCGCUUCUUUGUUGUUGGAAGGUGGAAGGACUGCUCAUUCAAGGUUUGCCAUACCUCUUAAACCUGAUAGCAGUUCAGUGUGCAGGAUAAAGCCGAAGUCUGAUCUUGCUGAUCUGAUAAAGAAAGCUUCUCUUAUUAUAUGGGAUGAGGCACCUAUGAUGAGCAAGUGGUGUUUUGAAUCUCUAGAUAAGAGUUUUUGUGAUAUCAUUGGUAAUAAAGAUAGCAAAGUAUUUGGUGGAAAGGUUGUUGUCUUUGGAGGUGAUUUUAGACAAGUUCUACCUGUUAUCGCUGGUGCAGGCAGGGCUGAGAUUGUGAUGGCAGCUCUUAAUGCGUCUUAUCUUUGGGAUCACUGUAAGGUUCUAAAGCUUACUAAGAACAUGAGGCUACUUAAGAAGGAUUUGAGUGUAGAAGAAGCAAAAGACAUCAAAGAAUUCAGUGAUUGGCUUCUAGCUGUUGGUGAUGGUAGAAUUGCAGAACCUAAUGAUGGUGAGGCUCUAAUUGAUAUACCUGAAGAACUUCUGAUUACCGAAGCAAAAGAUCCAAUUGAAUCCAUUACUCGUGAGAUAUAUGGAGAUCCAGCCAUGUUAAAAGGUACUGAAGAUCCAGUAUUUUUUCAAAAGAGAGCAAUUCUGGCGCCAACCAAUGAUGAUGUACACACAAUCAACCAAUAUAUGUUAGACAAGUUGGAGGGUGAGUCAUAGCUUACUAGCUUUGUGAAAUUAUUUCCUUCAAGUCUUUCUUACAGCUAAAAGGUUUUUUUUUUUAUUUUUUCAACAGGUGAUGAGCAAGUUUUUUACAGUGCUGAUAGUAUUGAUCCUGAAGAUUCCGAUUCACUUAAAAAUCCUGUUAUCACACCAGAUUUCUUAAACAGUAUCAGGCUACCAGGUUUGCCACACCAUGCUUUGCGUCUGAAGAUUGGUGCUCCAAUAAUGUUACUCAGGAAUAUUGAUCCUAAAGGUGGUCUAUGCAACGGUACUCGGCUUCAGGUAACUCAGAUGACCCCACGUGUUCUUCAAGCAAGAGUUAUAACCGGAGACAGAAUUCGUGAUAUUGUUUUGAUUUCAUUAAUCAAUAUUACACCAUCCGAUACAAAGCUACCUUUUCGGAUGCGUAGAAGACAGUUCCCAGUAUCACUAGCAUUUGCUAUGACUAUCAACAAGAGUCAGGGACAAUCACUAGAGAGGGUUGGACUCUAUCUGCCUAAGCCAGUGUUUUCUCAUGGGCAACUAUAUGUUGCUUUAUCUAGGGUUACCUCAAAGACAGGUUUGAAAAUUCUGAUUCUAGACAAAGAAGGGAAGAUUCAAAAGCAAACAACUAAUGUUGUUUUCAAAGAAGUUUUUCAGAAUAUUGACUCAUAAUGCUUCUUGCAUUAUUUGUCAAACAAUCUUAUCAAAUAAGGUAUGUUUAGUUUACCAUUUUAUUUUAUAAUAUAAUUGCUUUAUGGUAAGCAAAACCCCCAGUCAAUCAAUCAUAUAUUUGACUAACAAUCUACUUACCUUUUCACAGAUUCAAUGUCUCAUGGUUCAAAAGAAAGUAACAACCAAUCAAUCGACUUUCAAUUCCAGUUAUUGUGCUAACUAUAUUUGACUUCUUUAAACACUCUUACUUUCGUCAUAUUUGGUUAUGUCUUUCUUUUUAUGUAUUGAAUAAAGUACCAAUCAAUCAAGCAGAUGCACAAUCAUUUAGUUUUCUCAUUUUCACUCAAUUUAUCUUAGCUUAACAUUAAUGAAAAUGUUGUAGAUGUUUAUAAAUUACAUUUCAGUGAGAAGAAAGUGUAAACUAACCUUGCAUAGAUGCGGAUGUAGAUUUGAUUCUCCUUUGUUUCAGAUUUUUGUCCUGAUGCUUCUGAUGGUAGAAGCUUCCUAUUUAAUAUACAGCAAGGGUUAGAUACUUCAAAAUAAUCAUCAGAAAGUCCUUUAUGCCGCCCAAAAUCACUAACUGUACUCUUACCUUCUCUUCAUUUUUUGAUCUGCUUAUGCUAAGUUGAGGAGUUUAUAACUUUCAAUUAGUCGGAUUCUAUGUUAAUUCCUAGACAAACACACAUUAAUCGAUUAGCAAAUCAGUACAGUUGCUAUGUCAUUCAAAGUUUAGCUGUGCUCAGAACACUGAAAAUCAUUUGAGUUACAAACUAUUGAAUAUACUAUUGUCAGAAUAAGAAUUGAACUUACAGUUUCAGCUCGCUUGAAUAAGAGGUCCCAGAAGCAAGUUCCGAUAACCCUCGAUUCCAAUUGCUGCUUGAUCUUAUCCAAGCUGUUAUCAGUAGCAUCAACAAUCCUCUACGCAUUUUCCGAAAUUGACAAAAUGGAGAAGUUUAAGACUGUCAAUUAGAAAAGGAGCCAAAAUAAAGAUACUAAAUUGUAGCAGACAGAUAUCGAGUGAGAAAGAUACCGGAGAAGCGCCGUUCGAAGCCAUGUUAAUUGGGAUCGACGAUUAAGGAAAGAUCUAUGGUCGAUUAAAGGUGAAUAAUCGCUGAUUGAUUGAUCGAGAGAAGAAGUGGUGUUAAGGUUUUGUUUGGUUUAGGUUUUGAGCUGAAGAAGACGAGAUUAAAGAAGAAGGAGAAGAAGAUGAAGAAAAUGGAGAAGAAGAUGAAGAAAAUGGAGAAGAAGAAGUUAGGUUGAUUGUGUUUCGCGGAAUUGAAAAUGACCCGUCUUCACUGUACCAACGAGAUCAAGUCUGUGUUAACCGGCCGGUACGUUACCGGAUCAGAUCAACUAAUCCGACCGGUUCUUUUGCAUUUUUUUUUUUUGCCCAGUAACAUUAAAGGACUUUGUUGUCUACAGCCCAGCAUGUAUGAGAGGUUACCUUAUUUUGUAUUAACAUGUUAAUUAUGUUAUUAAGUUCAAUAUAUAUCAUGCAAACUAAUUAAUUAAAACAUAUUAUUAUCUCAAACAAUCAGUUUUUGCAUAUGAAAAAAACUAUUCACAGCCAUAUUUACAUGAUCAAAAAUUAAUUUUUCCUUAAUAAAAUCAAACUAUCGUGCAAUUUAUAUUGAUUAAAAUUAUUUUAAUCCUUCACAUCUAAAUAAAUCAUAUAAUACAAGAUAUCUAAAAUCUGAGAAUUAUAUUACCAAUGCAAACAGAUUGACAUUUAACAUAUAAAAGCCAAAUGCACAUAUAUGAAAAUUAAUCUUACAGUUGAAACAAGUUGUAUGUUUACACAUUACCAAACUUUUAAAAAAUAAAUAAUUAUGUAGUAUCAAUUAGACGAUUAAUAUAAAAGGAAAUAAUUUUUAUGUAACACAUAUGACUCGAUUAAAACAUGUUAUACACAAAUAAUAUCGAUAACUUAUAACACAAUCCCAACUAUAAUACAUAAAUAUAUAUAUAUCACCACAAAAAAAAAUCAAAAUAAAAUAAAACCAAUUAUUAUUGUAUUAUUAAAUAACAAAUAAUAAAAAUAUUCAACUCGCGGUGUACCGCGGGUAACAAUCUAGUUUCUUAAUAUUUUUAAAUAUCUUGUGUUUAUAUGUCUUUUAAAGAAGAUUGUGUUUUACUGUUUAACAUGUUAAUAUUGUUCGUUUCUACAAUUUCCUUACUAAAAAUACCUUAAUCUUUGUGUUUGAUAUCAUGGAUUUAAUAGGUAUUUAACAAGGGAACUACUAACUUUUUCAUGUAUGUUAUGUGAAGGUCGGUAUAAUUCUUGUUGCUCAGUUUGUUGGAGACACAUUAUUUCAUCUACGGCAUAUAAUAUGCAAAAUCACUUAUAAAUGUUUCAUUCAUUAUACAUUUUUCUACUAUUGAUGAAAUAAGUAUGAAGAUAAAAAUAAAUAUGAACUGUCUAAGUUAUUAAGCAUGCAAAAGACAAGAAAAAUGUUUCUCUUUAGUUCAAGAAGAAGACUUUUUAAACCAAGUGAUUGUAAUGGUCCUCAUGGAAGUGAUAAUAACAAAAGAACCAGUGGAUUUAGUAGGGAUGGACAGGGAUCUGAUACCCUAGAAUUUUGAGUUACCCAAAUAUGAUCCGUAAAACGACUACUCGGAUCCUGAUCCGCUAAUGUCUUUAAGUAUCCAGAUCCGACACAAAUAGCUAAAAUACAUAUAUAUAUAUAUUGAAAAAAUAAACUAUAAUAGAAAAUAUAAUAGAAAUUGUUCAUAAUGAGUUUUAAAUACUUUAGGACAUAUUUACUAUGUUCGUUCGAAAAACACACCAAUUUUAAUAUAGAGUUUAUUUUUGGUGAUAUAUUAAACAAUUUUACUGUUUAUUAGUAUAAAAUUAAUAUAAAUCUUCUUCAUAUAAAUUUCAUAAAAUUAUAUAUAAAACACAGAUUCGGGUAUACUAACCUUACAAUUAAAAAUACCUAGAGUGGAUUGAUUAGAUCUUCGAUCAGAUCUCAGAUCCCGAAUAUUUUGCCUAACCUUACCAUAGAAUCAAAAGAAAACUAUUAGAUCAAAUUGAGUAUUAUCUUGAAUCGAAAAACGAAAAAUUUUGGUUACAACAAUUUAUCUAGCAAGCUUACUACAUCGUUUCAUAUAAAUCUAGAAAUAAAAUGAACGAAACUAAUGGAAUAAACUAAUUUUUGCAUUAUAGGAGAUACUUGUUCAAAAAAAAUAUUAUCUUGAUUUUACUAGAAUAAAAACCGAGAUCUAAGACUGAAAUAAAUUUGAAUAGGUGAUACGAGUUCAAUACAAAGAUUACCUGGAUUUUUUAACGAUAAUAAAAAUCAAGAUCUAAGACUUGGAUAUUGAAAUGUUCAUUUAUGAUUUAGUAAAUCCAAUCUUAAUUCAAUUUCAUAAACGAAACAACUUACAAUUGAUAAUCUUGAAGACAAACUACUAUAUUGCAAAACUUGACUAUCGAUUAACAAGUAUAUGAAAAUUUGAGAUUAGAGAAGAAAGUUACCUUCAAAUCUUUCAUGACUUUCUCGAUUAGAUGAAGUAUGACCGAUUUCUUUAUACUUUUCAUAAAAUGUUUAGAUGGAUUUGAAAUUUGCUACAAAUCAUGAAUGUUUUGACGGCGAGAAGAUUAACAUGUUAUCUAUUUAUACAAAAUAACUGGUCAACAUUAUUUUUGGUUAAAAUUUUCAUUUAUUUUGUUUCCGUAUAUAGGAUUUUUCAAAGUAAUUGGGCUUGUCAUUUGGACCGCAUAAUAUUAAUAUUAGUUAACUACAAAAAAAGGGAUUUUUUUUUUUUUUUUUUAACGUCUGGAUUUAUUAUUUAUUGCAAAUUAUGAGAACUGUUACAUAGACGAUUCUACAACGGACAAUUCCUUCCGACCCUUAUUAGAUCUACGACAGACGACACCUUCUUCACCUUCUUCACCUUCUUCUUCAUACUCACCUCCUUCACCUCCUUCUUUAUGCUCUUGAUAGACACUUCCCUUAUGCGUAGAAUCCUGGCGAACGGCUAUAAUUGUACAUCGCUGGAGAUCUCCUGCACACUUGCCUCCAAUAAUCUGCAAAUUUAUUAAUAAAUCGCAGUAUCUGGGACUCGAACCCCAGACCUCUGGGUGUAAAAGUAUUAAUUAACCCUUGUUCAACCAAUGGGCCAAAGGGGCUUCCACAAAAAAAAAAAAAAAAAAAAAAGAAGGGAUUUAAAGUCAUUUUUCAAGUUUCCUAAAGUCAGUUUUUAAAUGACCCUAACAAUAUAAAGUCAUUUUUGAAAAUGAUACAACAAAUGACUUUUUUUUAGAAACACUUCAAAAAGUGACUUCAAACUUAAAGUCAGAAAUCAAUAUGGGGCAUAAUUUUUUAAUGGGCUUUAUAUUUUGUCUGAAUCCAUUUACUUGUCUGAAAUCUAGUUAUGUUUUUGUCUGAAUUUCAGUUUCAUUUGUGUCUUUAAAUUUUGUCUGAAUUAAACCUGUAAAAAAAAUGAGGAACAAUAACCAAAUACAUUAUAUAUUUUCAUGUUCCAAAGUCAAAUAGAAAACAAUAUUUGAUCACAGUCUGAUACAAGAAUAUCUGAUUCAGCUAUAAAAAAUAAAAACAUAUGAUAUGCUAUAUCUGAUCAUAUUUCUAUGCACUUCUUCUUCUAGUACCCUUGUACUCAUCCAAUUUCUAUGCACUUCUUCUUCUAGUACCCUUGUGAACUGAAACAAAAACAUCUACUAUACAUUUUUGCAACACUUUUUGGGGAUCCUAAUCGGGUCAAAAUUUGUUUAAUUUUGACCCGGAAAUUUAAUGUUUUUGACCCGGAAAAAUCAAUCUCGGAUUUUACCUUAAUUGAGCAUUUUACCCGAAAUCUUUCACCAAAUGCUUCCAUAUUUGCUGCUACCUACAUUCAAAGCUUAAAUGAUUAAGUUUCUCAUAUUUGAAAGAUUUAAAGAUAUAUAGAAUAUAUAUAGUUAUAAGAAAUUGAUCCUAAAUACAAAAUGUUUCCUAUUAAAAGGCGAGAGAAACGAUUUCAUCUAGAAUCUGUAUAACUAAUUGAUCCUAUAAACGAAAUUAUUAGUUUGAGUUUAGGAAAAUAUCAGCCAUAUAUAUCUUUUAAACAAACCAAUAUUCUAUAAUUAAAUUGUUUCCUAUUUAAAUGGUAAAGAUUUUGAGUCCAUUAAUAUUUGUUUCCUAAAUAAAAUGAACCAUAUCAAAUCGACAUUAAUCAACAACUGAUUUUUAAGUAAAUGACUAAAGCAUAUUCUUUAAACAUGCUAUAUUCAAUUCUUAAUUUCUCGAAGAUAUCUUGACAUUUAUUUCGGAUUUCUUAUUAUGUAAAUGUUAGUUAAUGAUAUCUAACAAAUCUGGCUUGAUCACAAAGCUAUUUUCGAAUUUUUAUAAAACCUAAGGCCAAAAGACUAUAACCUCUAUAAAUAGGUUUUCGAUAACAGAAAAUUAUCACAUCAACAGAGAUUUUACCUUUUAACACAAUAAAAGAAGACUUUUCAGAAAUCAAUGGCUGCUUCAUUCUCCAAUCUCAUAGAUUUGAGACUUUACAAAGCUUCAUGUGCGUCCAAGUUUAAGAUCCUGCAUUCAUGGACAAUAUACUGUCAAAAAGGGAGACUCUUGAUAUGGUCUAGACUGAUGAGGAAGUCAGUUUUCAUGUACUGAAAUUUGGCUCUAAACCUUUUUCUUAUUAACUAACUUGAUAUGUUGUAUGUCUUAGGGAGCAAAGACAACUCUUUUAAACUAUGAUAACUUGAUCUGCAUACGAGGAAUACCGAGAAAAUCAGGUAGGUUGCAUCUAUCUUUUACAAACUAUGAUAAUUUGUUAAAUCAUGUUAAGCUAUUGAUGGGAUCAUGAUGAUCUGUGUUACCUUUUUUGUUGUUUCUUCUCAUUUUGCUUAUCUUACUGAUGUUUCAGAUCUUCAUUCACACAUAUCAGACUAGCAAAUCCGUGUAAAAAUCUUGAAAAUCUGGAAGCAAAAGGGAGUUCAGGAUGAAGCAAUCGAGUUAUAAUUCCUUGAUGAUAAGGUACUAUAAUUAGCUAGCAAAAAUCUUAUUCAUCUUUUUUAUUUCUACAUCUAUAUUUAGCGAGUUCUGUUUUUAUUUGUUUUAGAUUCAAUAUUACUAAUGGGGAAGGUUGUUCUCAAGUAUCUUUGAUCCACAAAUUCCAGAAUUUACAAGAUUAGGCAAACGUAACCUUAUUCUAACCAAGGUAAAUAAUUAGUGUUGGGUGUUUGGCAACAAGAACAUCAUUUAGUUUACUUUAAAAAAAUAACAAUACGUACUUAGAGCUACUGGAUUGAUUGUUAUCAAGCAUUGGUCUAUAAAACUAUAACUAUAAGAUAGAUGCAUAAACGGAUCCGAGAGAAAGAGAUUACCAUUUCUUGCAUGUGCUAAUUAUAUUAGAGUUAUUAAAUCAACUGGCCAGAGAUUUUGAGAACCUGAAAUUGAACAAAGACAACGCCUGUUAGAACAGGAGAUUAUGAAGCAUCUUAUAAAGAAAAGUCCGCCCAGAGAGACUUAGAACAAAAAAAUUGAACGAAGUGGUUGAGAAAUCAGAAACCAAAGAUUCAACUAAGCAUGUGAUCUCUUACGAUUAAAGUCAAAUUGAAUGAAACAACGACGGGUAGUCUGAGAAAAUAUAUCCCGUCGUUGCAACGACCUCUCCUCCCGCAUAUAGGAUGCUCUUCUCUGUAAUAAUCGCUUCCAUAUUGAUUCAAAUCUGUCGAUGCUUUGAUUCGGGAGGCUGAACUAACUGUCUGAAAUCGAACAGCAAGACUUCGCCAAUCAAAUCCCCAUAGAGCUUCUGAAAUGCUUCAGACAUGGUUCUCUGUUUGACCUCCUUCAACCUCCAUUAUCGACUCUUCUUCUCUGUUCAAUCGAUUCUUCAUCUCAGCCUCGUGGAAUCCGUACAUGAUUACUCUCCUUCUUGGGCCAUCUCUUCUUUCUAGCCACCAUUGGGCUUUUUCUGAUUCAAAAUUGGCUCUCCUUCGAAGUGUAUUGGACUACGUAGCCAUUGGGCCAUGUAACAUUUUAAUUCUCAUGCUUUUAGUAGAAUAUCUUUUAUCCCAACAAAAUGUAGUAGACUAAAAUAUUUUACAUUAUAUUAGUUUUGGUAUAAUAUAAUAUUUUUUUAAACGAGUUCUUUUCAUUAUUUUAAAUAUAUAUUACUAAUCUAAAGAUGAAGUGGAUAAAAUAAAUAUAUUUUUAAACAUAUUAUAAAUAUUUAUUAUAUCUAGCCUAAUUAUUUAUUUCGAGUAAAAUAAAUUAUUUAUUUCAUGAAAUACAUUAUUAUAUUUUGAAUCAAACUGUUAUGUGAUUGUGUGAACCAUUUAAAAUAAAAAAUUUAAAUUUAUUCGAAUGAUAUGUUUUUUAAAUAAAUGUAUUAUUAAAAAAAAUAACAAAAUGAUGUUUAAUUUCACGUGAUGGGUUAUAUGGUGAUUGGUGAGACGGGUUGUAGCAAUAUGGUAUAUCACGGGUGAAAUUCUAAAAUUAACAAUCAAAAUACAAUUAUACAAUCUUAAACAUUUAACAAAACAAAUAAUAUUAACAAAACAAAUAGGGAAAUUGUUAAAAAUGCCCUUUUUGGUGUGCCCCUUUUCAAAAAUGCUCCUUUUAGAUGUCCAUUUUCAAAAAUACCCCUUUUUUAAUCUGAAAUUUUUAUAAAGUUUUAUUAGGUUUAUAAGGUACUUAUGGAUUGUAACUACUACUUGAAGACUCGAUCCAAGUAUUUAUAAGGUUUUAUAAGGUGUUUUUAAAGGUUUUACAAGUUAUUUUAAAGGAUUUUUAAGAUUUUUCAAAGGUUUUACAAAAUAUUUUAAAGGUUUUUAAAGGUAUUUAAAAUGCAUUUAUAAGGUAUUUAUAAAGUAUUUAUAAGAUUUUAGAUACAUAGAAAUGUAGUUUGUGUAUGUUUUAAUAAUGUUACAUACAUAUUUGGGUAAAUCUUAUAUUUUUAAGAGCAUUUUUUAUAAGGUUUUAAAGAAGGGGCAUUUUUGAAAAGUGGCAUUGAAAAAUGGGCAUUUUUGUAAAAGUCCCAAACAAAUAUAACUUAAAUUUUAUAUUUUUAGUUAUAAAUAAAAUUUACAUGCUGUGUACCUAAAAUCAAACAUAAGUCUAUACCAAUAAAACAUAAAAAAAAAAAAAAAUUAAUACAACAAUAACACAAUAUAUAUAUACCCAGUGGUAUACCAAAAAUCUAUAUAACAAAAAAUAUCAUAAGUUUAUAACAAAAAAUAAUUCAAGAAAACCAGAUAAAAGACAAAAUAACAUUAGACUACAUAAUCUCGGAAAUUUACGACUAACUACAAACCGUAGACUAUUAAUCAUCUUUUUUUUUUUUUUUCGAUAACCGAAUGUCCUGGCCCCACCGAAGUGGUCCAGACUAGAGACCGAACCCUUACGGCACGGACUCGGCCGCGAUUAAUCAUCUUUUUAUAAUCAACAAAAACAAAAACAACAACAACAACAAGAAAUACUAUACACAAAAAAUUCAUCAGUUUCUAAAAACUAAGCAUAAAUAAAAAAAAUUAACCCGCGGUGUACCGCGGGUCAUAUCCUAGUAUAAUGUAGUCUCAGUUUGGUUAUAGACGGCAACAACACCAUCUAUAAUGUAUCUCUGAAAUCUACAACUUAGCUUUAUACACUACCUAUAACACUACUCAAAUCAACACUACCUAUAACACUACUCACAUCAAAUUCCAACACAAGAGAGAGAGAGAGAGACAAGAGACAAGAGAGUUAGUACCUUACUUCAGUAUCUUCCUUCAGUUUUCGAUUUAACAAGAACAAAAAGAGCAUCUGUCACGAUUUCUAGCUUAUCUUCAAGUCCUUUCAAACGGGUCUUUAGCUCCAAAAUCUCAGCAUUAGACGACAUCACAGAUUCCUGAUCCAAAAGAUACUUGGACGGUGUUACUCCACGUCCAACACAUCGAACUCGACCUGUAGGCUCAGAACCAAACACUUGUUCAAAUGCAUCAUAUGGUCUAGACUCAGUAUUGGAUGCUUCAUCUUGUAUAUUCUCAGUCAUUACUUGGGAAAGCUUAUCCUGCAAAAAUAAUGAAACAGAGAUUCAUAAGUUACAGAGAUCAUCAGGCAUAUAAAACAGACAAGUUACAAGUUACAGAGAUCAACCAUCAAUCUAAAAGCAAAACUGACCAUAGUGAAACAGCAAGUUACAAGUUACAAAACAGACAAGUUACAAGUUCAAAGUUACAGAGAUCAACCAUCAAUCUAAAAGCAAAGCUGACAACUUACCACAGUGAUUCUUGCUUCGUUGCUCAAUAAACUUCCAUCUGAUCUAGUCCUUGAUGCAAUAAAAAGUUCAGCUCGAUUUGGUUCUUUGCCUGUCUCCUCUUCCUAAAUGUACAAAUGCACCAAGUUAAAGAGGAUUGACAGAAUCAUAGUACUAAUUAAUGCAGAAUAAAGAUUGACUAAACGUACCAUCUCAUUAGCUUUUCUUGCUAAACUCUUUUUUCCAAGUGUAUGUGGCAUUUUAUGAUUGUUUCGACUAUUAAUAUUACGCUCUCUCACUCUCUAUAUUGUAACAAAGCAGUACAUAGUUAUUUGUAUGUGAUAUAUAUAAACUAUAAAGUAGUUGUGGAAUAGAUUUUACCUUAGCCUUAUCAGUGAACUGCAUUUCCACAAAUUCUUUCCAUUGAUCUUCAGGAAUUAGUCCUGGUCUUGCUUCAAAUGCUUCCUCUAUAGUAUUUCUUCUGUACUUCAUCCAAAUGCGUUGUUUCAAGUCUCUGCAUCUGACUCCUAAUGCAGAUAAAACAUAUUUCUUCCUCCUCCUUGGAUUAUCAAACCAGAACUUUUUCUGUGUUAAUGUAAAAAUGAACAGAAAAGAUGGUGAGAGCUUAUCCAAAGUAAAGUCUAAUAGUUAAUAGGUAAUGAAAAUACCUGAAUCACUUUCCAAGCCAUUUCUUUUCUGUAAUUGGGAACUUUGCAUGCUCAAAAGCUUCUUUCAAAAGGUCAAGUAUCAUUGACAUUCCUUUGUCACUGAUUCUAGUUAUACACUUGAUGUGAUACAACUUGAGCAUGAAUGAUAACUUGCUAAAAGAGUGACACCCUUCAUACAAAGCUUCAUUGCAGUCUGCUAGCAAAUCAUCAAACACCUCAUUUUGCUUUGAAUGAUCCUCCAUAGUAGGCAUACUAGCAGCAUCAUCGUUAAAACUAUUACUCAUACUUGGAAAAACAUCUCCAAGCAGAUUCAUAGUCGGGUUUUCAACAUGAUUAUCAUCAGAUUCAUGUUCUAGUCUCACUUCUUGCUCUUGAAAAUCCAGUUCUUCACCAUGGAGAUACCAAUUUGUAUAUGUAGGCAGAAAACCGUGAAAGACUAAAUCACCCUCAAUCUCAGUCAUAUUCUUGUGUUUAACAAGAAAACAACGUUGACAAGGACAUUUGAUCAUAUCUGUCUUACUAUAACCAAAAGCAAAAUCCAAAAACUCUUUGACUCCAUUUAUGUAGUCUUGAGAUAUACGAUGUUUUGUAAUCCAAGACUUGUCCAUUCUCAAUUCUGAAACUAUACAAGUUCAAUCAAUAAACAAACACACUCUAACUUCCAUAGAAAUGGAAAUUGGAAACCACAAACAUAGUAUCGAUAACUCAUGGAGUCAUAAAAAUAUCAGUUAAACAUAUAUUCUUAUUGAGACAAAAUCCAGAAGCAACAAACGUGUUAUUAUAAUCAAUCAAACGUGUUAAACAAAAUUCAAUGCUUAUCAGUAAAAUACAAAUCCAGAAUCAAAACAUGUAUAAUUAUAUAUCUCACAACACUCACAGCACAUCACAGAGAUAUAUUAUAAUCAAUCAAACGUGUUAAACAAAAUUCAAUGAAUUGUGUGUAAAAUACAAAUCGAGAAUCAAUUUCACUCAUUUUCAACAAAAAUUUAAAACAAAAUUCACAAAUCCAGAAUCAAUUUCACUCACGCAAGAAGCAAACAAGGAAAACAUGAUGAAUUGUGUGUGUUGUUCAGAUUCUUUGAUGAAGCAACUAAGAGCUUCAGUAUCUCUUUCAAGGAUAUGUUAAUGUUCAUGUUAAAGUCUCUUAGUUUUUUUUCCUUUCGAGAACCAUAGCAUAAUCAAAACUUCAAUAAAACAAACACAAAUCUCAAAUAGGCUAAUAGUCGACAAUCAAUCUAGAGGGAGCAAGUGAAUGGUACCUUGAAUUUUGGAGUCGGCGAGAAAAAAUCAAAUCGCGAUUGAUGAGAUCGAUGAACGAUUCGGGAUCUAUUGAGAUUGACGAACGCUUGAAAUCUACUUAGAAAUUCAUAGAAACGAAAAACCCCAUGAUUUGUUCGAUGACACUGAAGUUCUUCGAAGAAGAAGAUGCUCGUAUUUUCUGGGUUUGAGAAGCUUCGGAGAAGAAGAUGCUCGUAUGUUCUCCGAAGAAGAAUGCUCGUGUUUUCACUAAGUCUUUAGUGGUUGGGCUUUAAUUCGAAUAAUAGCCCACCAAAUUAAAUCUGUCAAAAAAAUAGCCCACCAAUUUGAAUCAUAUUUGCGUUGGUUUUUGCAGUCGGUUACUAAACCGACUCUAGAUCCCUUCUUUUUAAACAACUUUACGUCAUUUUCUUAAGUAACGUUAAUUAAGUGACUUUACAUUAUAGAUUUCUUGUAGUGGUUUUUGGGCCAAUGAAUAAAUGUUUAGUAAUAAAAGUACUCUAUAAUAAUACGCAUGAGGUUAAUAAAUAAAUCUAUACUAUUAAUUGGGAAGCAUUGGAUAAUAAAUAACCUUAUCAAGGGUAAAGAAUUACAAAAAAUGCCAUUACAAAUUUUGUAUUCAAAGAGUAAUUAAAAGGUAUCGUGGAAGGAUAAAAUGGCACAUUUGCUGGUUAAUGAGACGCGGAUCUUGGGUUAUUGGGUCGGAUCUAUAUUUAUACUCCUUUGGUAAAACACGCGGAUCUUGGUACUUAGCAUUCGGAUCCGUUAUACUCGCGGAUCUCAUCUGAUUGGGCUUCGUGGAUCAUGGUAUUUCUGAUGUUCUCGAAUAUACUCUUUGAGAUCUCCUGAAGUUAAUGCCAUAAUCAAAUUAGAUUCAAUCACUCAAAAGAGAUUUCUAUAACAAACAAAUCCAAUACAAUCUGAUUAGUAAAUAAGGAAUUAUCUCUUCAAAUACGAAUUCAGUUAUUAGAUUUUACCAAACAUAACAAAAUCUAUAUAUUCAAAUACUAACAAACAAGCAUAUACCUUAACAAUCCUUAUUCUUAAAUAUAUUACUUUGAUAUGAUUCUCUAAACCCUAAAAAGGCUAGCCGACCUUGCUUAUUAUAAAUAUAGAAUAUCAAAUGCCAAUGAAGAUACACACUAACCUUUCUUACCGAAAACACUUCUGUUCUUGCUCCUUUAAAGAAAAUGGCUGUAAAUCUUGGUAUCGCCAAUCUUGACGACAUCAAACCCUUCAAAACAAGUUGGAAAAUCCAAGUUAAAAUUGUGCAUUUGUGGACUCAAUACACGCAAUACACUGGGGAAACAAUGGAAAUGAUUCUCGCUGAUAUAACUGUAAGUAUAUAUUUUAUUUUGACUAGAUCUUAUACUAAUUACAAUCUUAUAAUAAUCAUUAAGGUGAUCCAAUUAUUAACACAUGUGUAUUUAUUUUCUGUACAGGAUACUUUGAUUCAUGCUACUAUUAAAUGUAUUAAAUGACUGCAAACCAGGUGACUCCACUUCUUUUUCAAAACCUAUAUGACUAUGCUUUGCAAGAGUCAUUUAAUGUAAGAGGUAAUUAUUACUAUUAUUCUGUAAGAAUUGAUUGUUAUAGUUCUAUUUAUACUCUAAUAAUCUUCUUCCUUUUUUUUAUCUGCUUUUACUGGUAAAAGUUUAUUUCUAACAUGCAUUUGGUGUUACUGAAAUUAUUUUACAGAGAACAAAUGAUGUUGUUUAGAAUCGCGUAUCUAUAAUUUUCAUCAGAAUUUUUUUUCAAGAAUCUCAAACAUUCAAUUCAAAACACCUUAACUUUGUUUUCAAAAGUUACUGUAAUAUGAAGUUAACUUUUUCAUAUAAAUAAUCAGUAAGGAUAAUUAAGUAUUAUGAAAAAAUAGCAGAAGUUAAUGUAUUGCUCAUCUCUAAUUCUGUUAACUCAUUUUAACAGACAAUGACAACAAAAAAUAAAUUUUAUAACAAUUCUACUAAUUCUAAAUGUAUAACAGCAGCUAUCCAUUCGUAACAAUUAACAACUAAACAAAAGUAUGCAAUCCUUAUCAUCUCACUAACCUUUAACAUUGCUUUAAGCUGUCUGAAUACUGUCUGAAUAGUCUGAAUAGCUCCAAAGACGACAUCAAUAGAAGCCUCAUCCAUAAGAAUUAAACAUGGAGAAUAUGCUUGGCCUGUAUGCAUUUAACAUUUAAACUCUAAUUUAGUAAAAUCAUUUAAUAUACAAUGAAAAAAAAAAACGUAAUAUAUAACUUUGUCUCAAAUUCAAUAAGUAUAACAAUAGCUAAAUAUUCUUAUCAACUAAACAAAAGUCCUUAUCAUCUCACAAACCUUUAACACUGUUUCAUGAUUCUGAAUAGCUCAAAAGAUGACAUUGAAACUCCCUUCUUUAUAAGAUUUAAACUCUGACAUGAAUACUGGCAUGUAUACAUUGAACUUUCUAUCAUCAGGACCACAUAUUUAUAAACAACUAUGGGUUUCUCAUAAUCGCAACAUAAAACUUAUCUUCUUCAUAAACAUCUUCUUUUGGCAUCAUCAUGUUUGUAAUUAUGUGAAAUAUAUAUAAAAUUAUAUAUAUAUAUAGACAAAUUGUCAUUAUCAUGUAACAAAAUCUACUGUCAAAAUCUAUACACAAUCCAGCUUAUGAAUAUAUUGGAUUUAAUAUCCGAAUAUAUGUUUAUCUAUUUCUCCAAACACAUGGAGAUAAAAGACUAACAAUGAUUGUCACGAACAAACUAAAAUUAAACAAUCACGAUUUAGGUUUUCUUGACAAAACAAAAUUGAAAUCAAAAUUUAGAGGCUUCAAUUGCCAAUACUUACCCAUAUAAGAUCGGGUUCUUGACAAUCGCUACCCAAGAGUUCUGUUCAUUUAUAAAACUUGAAAGAUUGGAAAUUGAAUCAAAACAUUUAGAAAAAGUAAAAGACAAAAUCUGAAUCAAUAAUAAGCUUACCCCUUUGUAGAAUUCCGAUUUAACGAUGAACAGAUGAUAAACGGAGAUGUGGUAUCUUUAUUAUCAGACAAUUUUGCAUCAUAGGCUUAGAUCGAACAAGCGACUGAGAUUUUUAGGGUGUGUUUUAGAGAGGAAUAGACAAGAAAGUUCUAAAAACAUCGGCCCAAAAAAAAAU
rnacentral:lncRNA from 1 species